rnacentral:rRNA from 1 species
GAUGAACGCUAGCUACAGGCUUAACACAUGCAAGUCGCGGGGCAGCAUGGGGGUUGCUUGCAAUCCCCGAUGGCGACCGGCGCACGGGUGAGUAACGCGUAUCCAACCUGCCCUUCACCACGGGAUAACCCGGCGAAAGUCGGACUAAUACCGUAUGUUGUCCAUUGACGGCAUCCGAUUUGGACGAAAGGUUUGGCGGUGAAGGAUGGGGAUGCGUCCGAUUAGCUGGACGGCGGGGUGACGGCCCACCGUGGCGACGAUCGGUAGGGGUUCUGAGAGGAAGGUCCCCCACACUGGAACUGAGACACGGUCCAGACUCCUACGGGAGGCAGCAGUGAGGAAGAUUGGUCAAUGGGCGUAAGCCUGAACCAGCCAAGUAGCGUGCAGGAUGACGGCCCUAUGGGUUGUAAACUGCUUUUAUGCGGGGAUAAAGUGGCCCACGUGUGGGUUUUUGCAGGUACCGCAUGAAUAAGGACCGGCUAAUUCCGUG